rnacentral:rRNA from 1 species
ACAGAGGGUGCAAGCGUUAAUCGGAAUUACUGGGCGUAAAGCGUGCGCAGACGGUUGCGUAAGUCAGAUGUGAAAGCCCCGGGCUCAACCUGGGAAUUGCAUUUGAGACUGCGUAGCUAGGGUGCGGAAGAGGGAAGCGGAAUUUCCGGUGUAGCGGUGAAAUGCGUAGAUAUCGGGAGGAACAUCUGUGGCGAAGGCGACACCAUGGACCAGCACUGACACUGAGGCACGAAAGCGCGGGGAGCAAACAGGA